AUUGAACGCUGGCGGCAUGCCUUACACAUGCGAGUCGAACGGUAACAGGUUAAGCUGACGAGUGGCGAACGGGUGAGUAAUGUAUCGGAACGUGCCCAGUCGUGGGGGAUAACUGCUCGAAAGAGCAGCUAAUACCGCAUACGACCUGAGGGUGAAAGCGGGGGAUCGCAAGACCUCGCGCGAUUGGAGCGGCCGAUAUCAGAUUAGGUAGUUGGUGAGGUAAAGGCUCACCAAGCCGACGAUCUGUAGCCGGUCUGAGAGGACGACCAGCCACACUGGGACUGAGACACGGCCCAGACUCCUACGGGAGGCAGCAGUGGGGAAUUUUGGACAAUGGGCGCAAGCCUGAUCCAGCCAUGCCGCGUGCGGGAAGAAGGCCUUCGGGUUGUAAACCGCUUUUGUCAGGGAAGAAAAGGUUCUGGCUAAUACCUGGGACUCAUGACGGUACCUGAAGAAUAAGCACCGGCUAACUACGUG
rnacentral:rRNA from 1 species